UACCAGCACCCCGAGUGGUCGGGACGGUUAUUGGGCCUAAAGCAUCCGUAGCCGGUUCUUCAAGUCUUCCGUUAAAUCCAGCCGCUCAACGGAUGGGCUGCGGAAGAUACUAAAGGACUAGGAGGCGGGAGAGGCAAGCGGUACUCAGUGGGUAGGGGUAAAAUCCUUUGAUCCAUUGAAGACCACCAGUGGCGAAGGCGGCUUGCCAGAACGCGCUCGACGGUGAGGGAUGAAAGCUGGGGGAGCAAACCGG
rnacentral:rRNA from 1 species